UUAUUAAAUUAACUUUUUACUCCGACGUAAGAAUGCAGUGUUUGAUGACCUCUGGGGGGAAUGCCGUUUGCACGGCAGGGUCGCCCCCAAAGCAACAUGAUGCGUUCACAAAGGGUUGGAGGUCGGGAUUGCUCCCUCACUCAGUAAUGAUCCCUCCGCAGGUUCACCUACGGAGA
rnacentral:misc_RNA from 1 species